ensembl:lncRNA
GAGCCAGUCGGGGCCCAGGCCCUCCAGAACUAUGAGCCAGUCGGGGCCCAGGCCCUCCAGAACUAUGAGCCAGUCGGGGCCCAGGCCCUCCAGAACUCUGAGCCAGUCGGGGCCCAGGCCCUCCAGAACUCUGAGCCAGUCGGGGCCCAGGCCCUCCAGAACUCUGAGCCAAUAAGUACCAGAACUCCACAGAAAACAAAAUCAACCAAAACAGAGACACCAGUGACUUCCUCAGAACCACAUCUGAACCAACACAACACAGUCAUUAUCAAACAGGAGCUUGCGGACCCCGAGGUGGAACCCCAGACCCAGCCUGAGGUGGAUUCUGUACACCGGCCUGAGGUCCAACUGGCUCCUGCAUGUUUGGGAUCCCUGUAUGAAGGUAGAUUUCCCAUUCUCCCAGGACACAGCCAGAGGUUGACAUGUAGAGGAGGUGUUCCUCCCAAAAGCACCAAAGACCUCAACACCUACAUCAAGGAGAAACUGACUCAAGCUGUGGUCGGUCUCAGUGCGUUGAUAGAGUGCUGCUGUGAGGGCCUGGUGUCCUUCUACCUGUGUGUGUCGUGCGGUGGUCGACUGUCUUGUAACAGCCGACAGAACACGUCUGUCCUCAUCAACCACGUCCUCAAAUACAGGCACCGACUCAACUAUCUGACUGUUCGAUAUCCGUGGUAUUUCCAUGGUCUGGUACCUGGCCAGAAUCCGGCAGAAGAGUCCAGACUUCUGAUGCAGAUUGCUAAGGAGGUAGAGGAGCAGAACCAUGAUGAGCCUGGCAUGAUACAGGAGGUGCUCCUGAACCAGGCUGACUUUUUAGCGAUCAAAGGAAUGCUGUUUGAUAAAGCUGUGUCCCGUUUGAAGGAGAUCCGUUCAGAGCAGAACCAAACAGAACUUCUUACCAAGGUCACUAGCAAACUUGAACCAGUAGUGGUCAAGCAGGAGAUGGAGUGCCAGGUGGUGUCCCAUCAUGCCUUGGGGCAGUCUUCGUUGCCGCAGAGAUUGAAGCGCCAUUCUAGCAUCAAAGAGUCACCCGAGCAAGGGAAGAAACCGAAGGUGUCUAGUUCCCCUGAGUGUCAGGCCGUGAAAUCUGACCCUGCCUUUGACAGCUGUCCGUCGUCCUCUGAGGUCACUGAACCUUUUGACCCACCAUCAGGCAACCAGUCGUGCGCCGUCGAAACCUCAUCACUUGGCCACACUGACCCAGAACUGAAAAACACUCCUUCACAUACAGACUCUCAAUGUGAGCUGGAGGUCAGUCCACCCGGUAGCCCUGCUGACAAUCUGACUGUAUCCAAAAUGUUCUCAAGAAAGAAGCAGUCUCACUCGGUUUCCACCCGCGGCCACAAGCUCAGCAACAAACAUUUGGACAAGAAGGAUCCUGCUGACAGGGCUAAGGUCUCUCACGCACACAGCAAUGGCACACGCUCACACAGAGACCGCAGACACACUCACGCACACAGUCAUCACCAACACGCACGCAGUUGCAGUCGUACCAAACACACGCACAGUCUCAGUAAUGCCAAACACACUCGCGUGCGCACUGACCACGCAAGGACAGGCAAAGCCUGGCUCCGUGGCAGGACCCCAGAGAGACGCCGCAACAGAGAUCUUGCUGACCGACGUUCCGACCGCUCGCGCUCUCGUACCCCCCGCAGGAGACGUCGUUCUGUCCCCGGCUGCUCUCCGAAAGACCCGCCCACGGUUUGUCCCUUCAAGACCCACCAGGCCUCCACCUACUGCCUUUUCACUCACACCCCAUCCUAUCCCAGCAAAUCCACUUCGGCCCAGAGUCUGGCCCGGGAUGACCCCAGCCAACCGCCGUGCCCGUCUAAAGACCUGUCCAGCCAGUCCAGCCCGGCAGACAGGAGACCGUCCAAACCAACCACAGUGGUUAGGCCUCUCCAGGCCAAGGAGCAUCCACCAAACGACACCCCCGACAUGCCCCUCCACCCAGCGAGAACUGGACCCUGGACCCCACCGCCCCUGCCAGCCACCCCUACCCUCCUACCUCCCCCGCCCGAGCAAGAUCUCCUUUCUGCCUCUGGGAAUAAUAUGGCCUCCACUGUGGACGGUAUUAUGUUUAUUGGGGACUCUUCGCUGCGCUUCCCCCACUUGCCUGCUUCGACCACCCUGCCAAGGGCAGUGGGAGGUGGGGCUGAUUCCUGGACCAAGGGCCCUAUCGCUGGCAAGGAGAUGCCCGCCGAGGCGAUGGGGGUGGACUCAAAGGGCCGUGCUAUUGGCACGGUGGCAAUACCGGCCAACCCUCUGAAGAGGAAUCUUUCCGCGCCGGAACCAAAGGACCGAGAUCCCUGGAGCUAUGAGAACCGACAGUUCAUCACCAACCCCAGCAUCCAGGCUUCUAACCCCACUGCCAUUGCCUCACAGGCCCAGUGGGGCUACGCCGGAGGGUUGUCGGUUGGUCAGUUCACCUCUAACCCCGGCAGCUCUGCCCCUUGCCCCGGAGGCCGACUCUCCCUGGAGGGAUACCCUGUAGCCACCUACCCUGGUACGGGUUACCCAGGGGUGGGUGGGUUCACUUCCAGCUCCCCCACUGACCUCGGACCCAGUAACACACAGUCACAGCCCGGGUGGUCAGGGGGCUACUGGGGAACAGGCUACCAAGCUACGAGUCAACCGGAGACUGGCUACGUGUUGGCCAAUCAGGCUGGUCUUUCCUACCCCGGAGGUUUUUCUGGAAGUGAAGGGAGCUACCCCGGACAUCAGGUCUACCCAGGGGUAUUCUAUUCGGACACGGACUACCGUGGGCGUGCCUUCCCCGGGUCGGGUACUGGACUGGGUUCUGCUGGGGUGCCCCCCAGCAGCCACUACUCAACCAAACCACCGCUUCCGGCUGUUGGCUGCUGGGAAUUUGCCUCUCCAGCGGUGGGGAGUUGCCAGAGCUACUCCACCUGGACAGCAAAUGUCACCAGGGUUGCCAUGGAAACCAACACUGCUGGUAUUACUGUUGGGACCCCAACCCAGCUUGUCGGUCAAACCUGGGACCCCCGUGAGUGGAUGCCACCCCCUCAGUGAGCAUUGCCAGUGUGGAUGUCAAAGUGAGUGUUUGAACAGGGAAUGGAGGAUGUUGAGAAUGUCUAGAGGAAUGUGACCAGUUGAGAGGUGAAGAGUCGUCCCUGGACCUGGAAGGCAAUUGUUAUCUCACACAGGCACUGAAGAAAACAAUGUUAAAAUAAAGAGAUUGUAUUUGUUUACCAAUGUCUGAGUUGAAAUGAACACUUGGUUUUUCGUCCAUUUUCUAGUUCUGACAUGUAGCUAGUAGUGUUGGCCUUAUCGACCUCUGGAUGUUGUUCUGUGACCACAGAUUUUUUAUUUUUUUUAUUUUUUUACUUUUCAAGAGACUAAUUUUAAUUGCAAAACAAGUGUUGCUACAAAUUUAUAGACAGCAUUUAAAUAAACCAUAAAC